UACGUAGGAGGCGAGCGUUGUCCGGAGUUACUGGGCGUAAAGGGCGCGCAGGCGGUCUGGUAAGUUUGGAGUGACAGUGCUCGGCUUAACUGAGCAAGGCCUUCGAAAACUGCUAGACUUGAGCACUCAAGAGGGACAUAGAAUUCCGGGUGGAGUGGUGAAAUGCGUAGAUAUCCGGAGGAAUACCAAAGGCGAAGGCAGUGUCCUGGGGAGUGUCUGACGCUCAGGCGCGAAAGCUAGGGGAGCGAACAGG
rnacentral:rRNA from 1 species